rnacentral:lncRNA from 1 species
CUUAAAUGUACUCCCGUGUGGAGCGGAAGAAAUGCACCCGUCCCGCACCCUGCCUUGGGCCACAAAUUGGGGCAUUACAUGUGGUUCAACUCUAGAUUCACCAUCUCCUCUUGCUUCAGAGAAGUAAUCAAGCUAAUUCUUGGCCUAGUGCUAUCCUCCUUCGAUGUGUUUUUGCAUAAUUGAGAUCUUUCAUGGAAAAGUAUACAAUCUUCUGUCCUAGGAGAUCUUACCAGGCCUCUUGGCCCCAAAGGAGGCAAUCAGACCAAAAAUGAUUUCUCAGCGGUUGCCUGAGUGAAUCCUGUGAAUGAAAGGUCUUUGAGGAACAAAUUUACUCAUUUUCUAUUACUCAUGUCCUUGAUACCUUUGGUCAUUGCCCAGACUAUUCAUUAGAAAUUUCUGGCAACUGUUGGAAAGUCUGGAACUUCUCCUUUGCACAUGAGAGGCAGCCCCUGGGUGUUGAUCUCCCUGUGCCACCUUCCUCCAAUGUCAAAGACUUGGCUGCUUUUUUGUUCUGGGGUUUACGUAUCAGGCACCCAGAAGAUUAGGUGGAAAUGACCCAGUCACCCAAGGGUGCUGAAGGGCACAGAACUGUAGCUGGGGCCUGUUCCCAGGAUGGGCAGGUUAUGGGAUUGUGUGGGUAGCAUCUUAUCCUUCUCUCUGUCCCUCUGUACAGGGUGAACUGAAUUCAUCACAGAGCGGGGGAGCCCUGUCCGCGGCAGCCUGCACGGUUCAGUUAACCUGUGAGGCAGGUCCUGUCCUCAGCUGGUCCCAGGAAAACCACAUCUUCCAAGACUCAGCCUCCAGUGAAAAUUCUUUUAGUGAGUUUGGUUUGUAUUUUCUACUUCUAGACUACAUUUCUUUUUUAUAGCCAAAAUAUAAUCAGGAAAUAUGUAAUGAGGAAAUAUCUUGCUCUCCCUGAAGCAAGACUCGAGUUGGGGAGAUUGUCUUUCAUCCUGUUUAGGUUCCAUGAAUCCCCACGGUGGCUCCGGAGUCAGCCAGCUUGCAAAGACCCGCUGAUGGCAUCAGGCUGAUACUAAAGCUGAAAAGAACAACAGGGUGUCGAUGUUUGGAGGACAUUCUUAUCCAGGAAAAAAGACAUUUGUACUUUGGUCCUGGUUUUGGGUAACUUCAGAUAAUGCUGUUUUGCUUACAGCUCAGGCCCUUCUACAGGAUGACCACCCUUUAAAAACAUUUUCUUAAGAGAUGAGGAUUCCAGUAAUAAAGAGCAAAACACGAAAAGUACA